rnacentral:rRNA from 1 species
AUGGAGAUUGCCCGCCGGGAGCCCUUCAGCAUCAUGUCCGGCUCCGGCCGGAAGCGCCCGCGCCCGCUGGAGAUCCUUCGCAAGCGGUUCCAGUCUGAGCUCGUCGCGGUUCGUCGCCUCCUCGCCGAGGCGGCCACCGUGCUUCCUGCCUCGUGCCCGUCGGCUCCCCGCGUGCGCGUUCGUCCAGCCGAGGAGCCGCUAGCCAAGAAGAGGAAGGCGUCCCCUCCCGUUCCCAUGAAGAAGAUGACGCCCAAGGAGCGGAACCAGCUCUACGCGGACCUCACCAAGCUAGCCAAGCUGUCUGAAUCCCAUGUACUCCCUGCUCAUAUCCUGGAGCUGCUGAAGAAGCACAGCCGCCGCGGCAUCUGCGACGAUUACGUCGAGAUCGAGAUGCACGCCGUCCAAGACGCGGCCCUUGUGGAGAUGCAGAAGCAGCUGGACAAGUUCCUUCGAGAGAGGGCCCAAGACCAAGAGGAGGACGAAGACGUCGACAUCGUCGGCGGCGUCUCCCCUUUGCCGGUCAGGCCGACACCAGUGCAGCUCGUCGUCGAAGAGGAUGAGGAGUACGUGGACAUCUGCGGCGACGCCUCACCGGUGAAGAAUCUUGGCCAAGGUGCAACCAUCAGCGGCAGCAGCGGUUUGGAUUCUGGUUCAUCUCACCAGAGUGUCGACAGUCGUCCAGCUCCGGCAGAGCGCGCCGCCAACAGUAGUACGCCUCCAACACGCGACCUCAUCGCCCGUGCCAACAAGAUUCUGGAAAGGCGGCGAAAGGAGGAGACGUCCCGUGCGAGGGAGAAGGCCCGUCAGGAGCUGCUCGAGAUGGAGAGGACGGCAAUGCCGAAGGACACCCUAGACGAGGACGUGAAGGCGCUCGGCAUUGAUCAGUACAACACGGCGAGGCCGAACAACUUGUUGCGACAGAUGGGACUCUUCCUCAAGCUUGACGACCACGACCUGAAGCAGCAGCAGCAGCAGCAUCAUAAUCAAAGCUGCCAAGAAGAUUUAGAGGAAGGGGAGAUUCGGCUGUGA